CCUACGGGAGGCAGCAGUGGGGAAUCUUGGACAAUGGGGGGAACCCUGAUCCAGCGACGCCGCGUGAGUGAAGAAGUAUUUCGGUUUGUAAAGCUCUAUCAUCAGGGACGAAAGAAAUGACGGUACCUGACCAAGAAGCCACGGCUAACUACGUGCCAGCAGCCGCGGUAAUACGUAGGGGGCAAGCGUUAUCCGGAUUUACUGGGUGUAAAGGGCGCGUAGACGGUGAUGCAAGUCUGGUGUGAAAGGCACGGGCUCAACCCGUGAACUGCAUUGGAAACUGUUUGACUUGAGUGCUGGAGAGGCAAUUGGAAUUCCUAGUGUAGCGGUGAAAGGCGUAGAUAUAGGGAGGAACACCAGUGGCGAAGGCGGAUUGCUGGACAGUAACUGACGCUGAGGCGCGAAAGCGUGGGGAGCAAACAGGAUUAGAUACCCUUGUAGUC
rnacentral:rRNA from 1 species